AUUGAACGCUGGCGGCAGGCCUAACACAUGCAAGUCGAACGGUAACAGGAAGAAGCUUGCUUCUUUGCUGACGAGUGGCGGACGGGUGAGUAAUGUCUGGGAAACUGCCUGAUGGAGGGGGAUAACUACUGGAAACGGUAGCUAAUACCGCAUAACUUCGCAAGACCAAAAAGGGGGACCUUCGGGCCUCUUGCCAUCGGAUGUGCCCAGAUGGGAUUAGCUAGUAGGUGGGGUAACGGCUCACCUAGGCGACGAUCCCUAGCUGGUCUGAGAGGAUGACCAGCCACACUGGAACUGAGACACGGUCCAGACUCCUACGGGAGGCAGCAGUGGGGAAUAUUGCGCAAUGGGCGCAAGCCUGAUGCAGCAACGCCGCGUGUAUGAAGAAGGCCUUCGGGUUGUAAAGUACUUUCAGCGGGGAGGAAGGGAGUAAAGUUAAUCCCUUUGCUCAUUGACGUUACCCGAAGAAGAAGCAACGGCUAACUACGUG
rnacentral:rRNA from 1 species